rnacentral:rRNA from 1 species
GUCACACGUAGUUGUANCUAUGGCUACAGAACGACGCUGGCGGCAGGCUUAACACAUGCAAGUCGAACGAUGUAGCAAUACAUAGUGGCGCACGGGUGAGUAACGCGUGGGAAUAUACCUUAUAGUGGGGAAUAACUUUGGGAAACUAAAGCUAAUACCGCAUACGCCCGAGAGGGGAAAGAUUUAUCGCUAUAAGAUUAGCCCGCGUGAGAUUAGGUAGUUGGUGGGGUAAUGGCCUACCAAGCCUACGAUCUCUAGCUGGUCUGAGAGGAUGAUCAGCCACACUGGAACUGAGACACGGUCCAGACUCCUACGGGAGGCAGCAGUGGGGAAUAUUGGGCAAUGGACGAAAGUCUGACCCAGCCAUGCCGCGUGAAUGAUGAAGGCCUUAGGGUUGUAAAGUUCUUUCGCCGAUGAAGAUAAUGACGGUAGUCGGAGAAGAAGCCCCGGCUAACUUCGUG